CUCCACUCUCCUGGGCCGGCUCGCGCCCAGGGAGCCGCCGCCGCCGCCGCCGCCGCUUCCACGUCUCCCGGGGGUGGCGGCUGUCCCAGAGCGAGAGCCCGCGAGCCGCAGAGAGCGUUUUCAGGAAAACACACCAAGAAGGCGGGUCCAGAGUUAGGAGGAAGUGAAAAGCAAGCCUGUGCAUUCAAGGAACCAAAACACGCUCACACCAAGCUGCCUGUUGCACUGUCGUUUUGAUUCGGUUCCCAGCAUUUCGCCUUUUCUUAUGUCAACACCAUAACGGAUAACCACUUGUUUAAAAAACCAUUAAAAAAAAAAGAAAUGUUCCUUGUGAUUGUGUAGAAUUGUGUUUGUGGGCACAGCUUGAAACCACUGCACAUUGUUCUCUACUCUAGCUCAGCCGCCAAAGAAAAUGUUCAGCCAUACAUGUUUUUCAUGUUCAGUUAACUGUUCAGGACCCAUCUGGAAAGAACCGUUCCUGGUAAAGUUGAAUUGAUAUACUGCAGGAGAAGCUGGCACCCUUCAUGGAGCUGCACAUGCACUUGGCUUAGAACCUGAAGGAGCUGAAGAUCUGGCAGGAGCUGGGUGCUGCCUCAUGCCAGCAAGGGGAGCCAGCAGAUCAGCUACAAUGUGCUAGAGUUACCACCACACCUGGAGCCCUGCACUGUCCUUCAGAGCGUGAAAACCACGGCCACUGCCUCACUGUUGCCUUCCAGAGCUCAUGCAACACUGAAACCAUGCAAGAUUCUGGAAGAUAAAUCCUGCUUAGCUGAGUUGACAUACUACAAGGUCACCACACUGCCCCAUAGGUCCAGGAGUCAAGUCGGUUGAAUAUGCUUCAGCCCAGAAAUAGUGUUAUAGAAAUAUACUGCCUCAAGGAGACAUAAUCUGACAAGUACACAAAGAUGUUACACACACACAGAGAAAGCAGAAAUACUGUUCAUCAUUGCAAGAAUCUAGAACUAAAUGUCCUACCAUUGAGGACUGGUUUAAUAAAUUUUGGUACACCUAUAUAACACAGUACACAGUCAUUAAAAAGGAAGAUGUGUGUCUGUAUUUACUAAUAAUGAUCUCUACCACUUGAGUUAAAAGUAUGUAUAUUAUUCCAUUCAUAAAUAAAAUUAUAUGCAUAAGUAUUUGCACAGAGCAGCAUCUGGAAGGAUGUUCAGCAAAAUAUUAAUGGUAAUUUCUCUGGUAGUACUUUAUUCUUUAUGUCUUUCUGUCUUGGUGGAUUUUUCUACAAGUAUGUAUUAUCUUUAUAUCAGGAAAUGCAAGGAAGCUGCUUUUUACUUAGAAAAAAAUUAAUCAUUGGAGGACUUUUCUACUUGGUAGAAGGCAGGGGGUUAAAUGCUAAUGUUUUCAGUUCUCUUCCAGUUCUACUCUUUAAUGAGUGGGAAAGUCUUGUUGGUUUCUUGAGACUGAUCAAGAAGACUGGAGAUGCUAUCCUUACAGUUUUCACAAGGCUUUUGUAACUGUCCUUAUUUGAAGAUUGGAAAUCAUCACACAUUAGGCACCAUUUCUAAUGAGAUGGUGCCCUGCCCCACUUGAAGUGAUUGCUUUGACAACAGACUCUUGGUAUGUGUUAGCGUUGUUGCUUAACUCAGUUCUGACACUAUCAUCACCAGGCGGUAAAAGUGGUAGCAAAAAGUCAACCAAAGGGUCAAAAACAAACAGAAAAAGCAGUCAAUAGAAACUAACUACAAGAUUUGUUCACAACACUACAGGAAAUUGUGAGUGGGCAGGUAGAGAAUCUUAGUAAAGAAAUGGAAACUAUAAAAAAGAACUAAAUGGAAAUUCUAAAACUAAAACUUACAGCAGCUUGCAGUUGACAGAAUAAAGAAUGAAUUUGAAGACUAAAAUCACAUCUGGUUACCUUUCUUUUCAUGUCAUCAUGACUUUUGUGCUCCUGGGAAAUAUUCUCACUUUUUCCAUACCACAUAAGGCUUAGAGAACUCUCGUUUCCUGCUGCUUGCCCUGUUUCUACCCAAGAAGUGAAACAUGGGUUUCCUAUGCUCUCAGAUCCCUCAAACCUCCCUGAGAUUUGGGGGUACAGAGCAACCUUAUCUAGGAAACCCCUGUGUUAACAUCUAAGCUCUCCCAGUUCUCUUAAACUUCACCGUCCCUCCUUCACAGACUGUGGAACUACUGGGGGAGAAGGGGUGAAACUUUGCUCUUCCUUAUCUCCUCUGAUCUGGUCUUAUCAUUCAAAAGCCAUAAGCUAAGAAUUGAUGCCUGUGCCAUCAUCAGAAAGUCUACAAACAAUAAAUGCUGGAGAGGGUGUGGAGAAAACGGAAUGUAAAUUGA